AAUAUUGUAUAUUGAUUAUUGGAGCAACAUCAUAAUACGAAACAAAAAUCCAUCAAAACCUUAAUAAGUUUGAAGACGAAGAAGACGAACAACAUUAUCGCUUUGUUUGUGCUUGCAAAUAUGCACAAACAAAGCAAUUGAAGACGAAGAAGACAAAAGCCUAAAUUUUGGCGUAAUUAUGUGCUAUUUAAUUAAGGAGAAAUUACAGCUUUGGAGUUUAUCAAAAUCAAAAUUUUACGAAAACAAUCAAAAUCGGAAAGGAAGAAGAAGAAACAUACUGGAGUUGGCGUAUUAUUCAUGUCCACGAAUAUCAAAAUCGAAAUCUCUGAUUUCUGGUUUCUGUGAUUUCUUGUUUUGUUCUUCUUUCUCUCAUUUUUGCUUACGGAAUCAUGGUCGGAAUCUGAUGGGUCGUGGAAAAAUUGUCGACUAAAAUAGGUCAUCUGAAGUUUGGGGUUGAGCAAUUUAAAGAUUUUUUUAACCUUUUUUAAGAGCAUUUCAAUAUAUC
rnacentral:lncRNA from 1 species